rnacentral:tRNA from 1 species
GGCCGGUUGGCCCAAUGGCAAGGCGUCUGACUACGAAUCCGCAAGGAUCAGCCAUCAGGAGAUUCUGGGUUCGACCCCCAGGCUGGUCA